rnacentral:rRNA from 1 species
AGAGUUUGAUCCUGGCUCAGGACGAACGCUGGCGGCGUGCCUAAUACAUGCAAGUCGAACGGUCUUUUCUAUGGAAGCUUGCUUCCACUGAGGAGAUAGUGGCGAACGGGUGAGUAACACGUGGGUAACCUGCCCAUAAGAGGGGGAUAACAUCCGGAAACGGGUGCUAAUACCGCAUAGUUUUCUUGAUCGCAUGAUGAGAAAGGAAAGACGGCCUUUGUGCUGUCGCUUAUGGAUGGACCCGCGGCGUAUUAGUUAGUUGGUGAGGUAACGGCUCACCAAGACGAUGAUACGUAGCCGACCUGAGAGGGUGAUCGGCCACAUUGGGACUGAGACACGGCCCAAACUCCUACGGGAGGCAGCAGUAGGGAAUCUUCCGCAAUGGACGAAAGUCUGACGGAGCAACGCCGCGUGAGUGAAGAAGGUUUUCGGAUCGUAAAACUCUGUUGUCAGAGAAGAACAAGUUGGAGAGUAACUGCUCCAGCCUUGACGGUAUCUGACCAGAAAGCCACGGCUAACUACGUGCCAGCAGCCGCGGUAAUACGUAGGUGGCAAGCGUUGUCCGGAUUUAUUGGGCGUAAAGCGAGCGCAGGCGGUUCCUUAAGUCUGAUGUGAAAGCCCACGGCUCAACCGUGGAAGGUCAUUGGAAACUGGGGAACUUGAGUGCAGAAGAGGAGAGUGGAAUUCCAUGUGUAGCGGUGAAAUGCGUAGAUAUAUGGAGGAACACCAGUGGCGAAGGCGACUCUCUGGUCUGUAACUGACGCUGAGGCUCGAAAGCGUGGGGAGCAAACAGGAUUAGAUACCCUGGUAGUCC